CCGCCCAAGAGUUCAUAUCGACGGCGGUGUUUGGCACCUCGAUGUCGGCUCAUCACAUCCUGGGGCUGAAGUCGGUCCCAGGCAUGGCUGUUCGCCAUUUAAAGUGGUACGCGAGCUGGGUUUAGAACGUCGUGAGACAGUUCGGUCCCUAUCUGCCGUGGGCGUUGGAAGAUUGAAGGGGGCUGCUCCUAGUACGAGCGGACCGGAGUGGACGAACCUCUGGUGUUCGGGUUGUGUCGCCAGACGCAUUGCCCGGUAGCUAAGCUCGGAAUCGAUAACCGCUGAAAGCAUCUAAGCGGGAAGCGAGCCCUGAGAUGAGUCUUCCCUGAUACUUUACGUAUCCUAAAGGGUUGUCGGAGACGACGACGUUGAUAGGUCAGGUGUGUAAG
rnacentral:rRNA from 1 species